rnacentral:rRNA from 1 species
GAUGAACGCUGGCGGCGUGCUUAACACAUGCAAGUCGAACGGAAAGGCCCUGCUUUUGUGGGGUGCUCGAGUGGCGAACGGGUGAGUAACACGUGUGUAACCUGCCCUUGACUUUGGGAUAACUUUAGGAAACUGGGGCUAAUACCGGAUAGGAGCUCCUGCUGCAUGGUGGGGGUUGGAAAGUUUCGGCGGUUGGGGAUGGACUCGCGGCUUAUCAGCUUGUUGGUGGGGUAGUGGCUUACCAAGGCUUUGACGGGUAGCCGGCCUGAGAGGGUGACCGGCCACAUUGGGACUGAGAUACGGCCCAGACUCCUACGGGAGGCAGCAGUGGGGAAUAUUGCACAAUGGGCGGAAGCCUGAUGCAGCAACGCCGCGUGCGGGAUGACGGCCUUCGGGUUGUAAACCGCUUUCGCCUGUGACGAAGCGUGAGUGACGGUAAUGGGUAAAGAAGCACCGGCUAACUACGUG